CCUACGGGGGGCAGCAGUAAGGAAUAUUGGUCAAUGGGCGCAAGCCUGAACCAGCCAUGCCGCGUGCAGGAAGACGGCCUACGGGUUGUAAACUGCUUUUGCAGGGGAAUAUGUACUCUGAGAAUAAGGAUCGGCUAACUCCGUGCCAGCAGCCGCGGUAAUACGGAGGAUCCAAGCGUUAUCCGGAUUUAUUGGGUUUAAAGGGUGCGUAGGCGGCCUAUUAAGUCAGGGGUGAAAGACGAUAGCUUAACUAUCGCAGUGCCUUUGAUACUGAUGGGCUUGAAUGGACUAGAGGUAGGCGGAAUGUGACAAGUAGCGGUGAAAUGCAUAGAUAUGUCACAGAACACCAAUUGCGAAGGCAGCUUACUAUGUUUAUUGACGCUGAGGCACGAAAGCGUGGGGAUCAAACAGGAUUAGAUACCCUUGUAGUC
rnacentral:rRNA from 1 species